CACAAGCGGUGGAGCAUGUGGUUUAAUUGGAAGCAACGCGAAGAACCUUACCUGGUCUUGACAUCCCGAUGACGAGUGAGCAAAGUCACUUUCCCUUCGGGGCAUUGGAGACAGGUGGUGCAUGGUUGUCGUCAGCUCGUGUCGUGAGAUGUUGGGUUAAGUCCCGCAACGAGCGCAACCCCUAUUUCCAGUAGCCAGCAGGUAGAGCUGGGCACUCUGGAGAGACUGCCCGGGAUAACCGGGAGGAAGGCGGGGAUGACGUCAAAUCAUCAUGCCCCUUAUGAUCAGGGCUACACACGUGCUACAAUGGCGUAAACAAAGGGAAGCGAGACGGUGACGUUGAGCAAAUCCCAAAAAUAACGUCCCAGUUCGGAUUGUAGUCUGCAACUCGACUACAUGAAGCUGGAAUCGCUAGUAAUCGCGAAUCAGAAUGUCGCGGUGAAUACGUUCCCGGGUCUUGUACACACCGCCCGUCACACCAUGGGAGUCGGAAAUGCCCGAAGUCAGUGACCUAACCGAAAGGAAGGAGCUGCCGAAGGUGGAGCCGGUAACUGGGGUGAAGUCGUAACAAGGUAACCGU
rnacentral:rRNA from 1 species